CCGUUUACACACUACUCUCCUCUCUCAACAUUCCUUAACUACCUUAUCCUUUACAUCUAUCUUUCUACCCUAACCCCAAACUCAAAAACACAGACAUCAACAAAAAACAAAUUGCAGACAUAAUCCACUCCCCCUCUCUCUCUCUCGAUCCACACUUUAACCCCACAUCUGGUCCCUACUUCUCCUUCUCUGGCGAAAACCAGCAAAACCACUAGAGCCACCGGCCGGUUGCCGGUCAUUGGGUCUCCAGUGGUUCAACCCGUCGGCAUACAACCCCCCUCGACUUCUCGGUAAACCACACCUCAAAUCAUCAUCUUCCACCUGUUACACACAUACUGAGAUUAGAACGGACGAGCUUGAGUAGAGACAGAGAGAGAGAGAGAGAGAGAGAGAGAGAGAGAGAGAGAGAGAGAUCGGGAGAAGAGGGGAACGGCAAGGUCGCGUGCGGCGGCGGUAGCGGACGUCGGCGACGGCGAGGUGGUGAUGUUUUGUUCGAGUUGACGAGUAUUCCGAUUCAGGACGUGUAUCAAGUUCGGGUCAGAUUUGAUAAGUGCUCGAGUCAGAUUUGAUAAGUGCUCGAGUCAGAUUCAAGUCGUUUGGAGUCUCGGGUUUGGUCAACAGAAAUUCCGAGUCAGUUCGUAACGACAAACGAUGGUGAUAGAGAUGAUGACCGAUAAUGAUGAUGGUGUGAACAUCAGUUGAUGAUGAAGUUCGAGUUUUCAAGUUUGUUUGGAUGUUCGGGUUAAAUACAAGUCAAACUCAGCCAACACCAGGUCGACUCAGUCAACGCCGGGUCAACUCAAGUCAAACAGGUCAGCCGAGUCCACCCGGUCAACUCGGUCAAACCCGAGUUAACUCGGGUCAACAACUGGUCAAACUUUAGUUUCGGCCAGUUUCGGGUGUCACGGAUUCUGGUCAGCGGUUCGGGUCAACUAUAGUCAACUGGUCAGCCGCGGUUCGGGUGCGGUUCGACGAGCCAGAUUUUGGUUCAGUUCGACUUGGUCAGUCAACGGUCAAACUCGGUCAACUGAGGUCAAUCUCAGUCAACACGAGACGCGGGAAAGAUUUAAUUGACGCGAAAUUCUGAAAUUAUUGUUAUAGAUUGUAGAUUUUUAGAUUACGCGACCGAGCUUGACCCGUUUCAAUUUAGUAUUAGUUUAUAUUUAUUAUACUUGACGUGAAAUUUAUAUAUAUUGGUUGUUGAAAAA